rnacentral:rRNA from 1 species
ACUCCUACGGGAGGCAGCAGUGGGGAAUCUUGCGCAAUGGGCGAAAGCCUGACGCAGCGACGCCGCGUGAGUGAUGAAGGCCUUCGGGUUGUAAAGCUCUGUGGAGGGGGACGAAUAAGGGCCGUCGAAUAGACGGCUCGAUGACGGUACCCCUUUAGCAAGCACCGGCUAACUCUGUGCCAGCAGCCGCGGUAAGACAGAGGGUGCAAACGUUGUUCGGAAUUACUGGGCGUAAAGCGCGUGUAGGCGGCUCGGCAAGUCGGGUGUGAAAGCCCUGGGCUUAACCUAGGAAGUGCACUCGAAACUGCCAAGCUUGAGUUCUGGAGAGGAAGGCGGAAUUCUCGGUGUAGAGGUGAAAUUCGUAGAUAUCGAGAGGAACACCGGUGGCGAAGGCGGCCUUCUGGACAGCAACUGACGCUGAGACGCGAAAGCGUGGGGAGCAAACAGGAUUAGAUACCCUGGUAGUCCACGCCGUAAACGAUGAGUG